ACGCUAGCGAUAGGCUUAACACAUGCAAGUCGAGGGGCAGCGGGUUUGUAGCUUGCUACGAAUGCCGGCGACCGGCGGACGGGUGCGUAACGCGUAUGCGACCUACCCUCUAUUAGCGGAUAAUCCGAUGAAAGUCGGUCUAAUACGUUAUAGUUUAUACGGUCUACCUGGGCCAUAUAAUAAAGAGGAAUCGAUAGGGGAUGGGCAUGCGUUCCAUUAGAUAGUUGGUAAGGUAACGGCUUACCAAGUCGACGAUGGAUAGGGGGACUGAGAGGUUGACCCCCCACACCGGAACUGAGACACGGACCGGACUCCUACGGGAGGCAGCAGUGAGGAAUAUUGGUCAAUGGGCGAGAGCCUGAACCAGCCACGUCGCGUGAAGGACGACAGUUCGUAAGGAUUGUAAACUUCUUUUGCAGGGGAUUAAAAUUACCUACGUGUAGGUAUCUGCAGUUACCCUGCGAAUAAGCAUCGGCUAACUCCGUGCCAGCAGCCGCGGUAAUACGGAGGAUGCGAGCGUUAUCCGGAAUUAUUGGGUUUAAAGGGUGCGUAGGUUGCGGAACAGGUCAGUGGUGAAAAGCAGCAGCUCAACUGUUGUCUUGCCGUUGAAACCUUUUUGCUAGAGUGCACACGAGGUAUGUGGAAUGUGUGGUGUAGCGGUGAAAUGCAUAGAUAUCACACAGAACUCCGAUUGCGCAGGCAGCGUACCAGAGUGCAACUGACACUGAAGCACGAGAGCGUGGGUAUCGAACAGGAUUAGAUACCCUGGUAGUCCACGCAGUAAACGAUGAAUACUAGAUUUAUGCGAUAUACGGUAUGAGUCUAAGCGAAAGCGAUAAGUAUUCCACCUGGGGAGUACGCCGGCAACGGUGAAACUCAAAGGAAUUGACGGGGGCCCGCACAAGCGGAGGAACAUGUGGUUUAAUUCGAUGAUACGCGAGGAACCUUACCCGGGAUUGAAAUUCAGUUGACGUCCACAGAGAUGUGGAUUUCCUACGGGACGGCUGAGUAGGUGCUGCAUGGUUGUCGUCAGCUCGUGCCGUGAGGUGUUGGCUUAAGUGCCAUAACGAGCGCAACCCACGUUGAUAGUUACUAGCAGGUAAAGCUGAGGACUCUAUCGAUACAGCCGUCGUAAGACGCGAGGAAGGUGUGGAUGACGUCAAAUCAGCACGGCCCUUACAUCCGGGGCGACACACGUGUUACAAUGGAUGGGACAGCGAGAAGCCAUCAGGUGACUGAGCGCGGAACUCUAAAACCCAUCCCCAGUUCGGAUCGAAGUCUGCAACUCGACUUCGUGAAGCCGGAUUCGCUAGUAAUCGCGCAUCAGCCAUGGCGCGGUGAAUACGUUCCCGGGCCUUGUACACACCGCCCGUCAAGCCAUGGGAGUCGGGGGUACCUGAAGUGCGUGACCGCAAGGAGCGUUUUAGGGUAAUACCGGUGAC
rnacentral:rRNA from 1 species